rnacentral:lncRNA from 1 species
AUGGAGCCUGUGAGUGAGGGUGAAUGAGAAAGAGAAAGCAAACGAGAGAGUUUGCUCCCCUGAAAUCCUGGCCAGCGGUCAUGGCUUUGGCUGCGGAAUUUCUCUGAGGGAGAGUGAUGGAAAGCCCAGAGAUUACCGAGCAUCUGAGAGGAGUCAGACAUGGACAUCGUGCCACACUUUGCACCGUGGAAAACGGCAGAGAAAUCUAUAAGCUUGGCUUUCGGAGAAUAGGUCCCGGAGGUGGGAUAAAGUGGCUCCGUGCACCUGCAGCUCAGCUGGGUGCCUCCGGGGGAAUCGCGCCACCUCAAGCAAGACAAGACCCACUUGCCAGGAGUCUGGGGGCAGAGAGCUGGGGAAGGAGCCCGCCUGGGGGCCUCUGGGUUCCAGCCCAGCCUCCCAGCUCCACAGUAAUGCCUUCUGAUGCCAGCAGAAGUCCCAUUCUCAUGCCAAUGGAGAGAUUAUGGGAGAAGAAUGUGCCUCCUGUAGGGCCCCCAAGAACGGGCCCUGGGGACAGGGACGGGUCCCCGGAGUCUGUUCCAGACUGGCCUCCCAGGACCCAGCACUGGUUCCAGCCCCACACCCAGCAGUCCUGGUAAGUCCCCGGGCAGGCUGGGUAGGUCGCACAGUUCCAAUUGCCCAUAGAGCUGGACAACUGCCUUCCUCCUCUCCCCAUGCAAACAACAAUCCACUUGACAACAACACCUGCCUUACCUCACCCCUCCCACGACGAAGGUGCUUCACGUACCUGGGUUUGCUCCUCCCAGAACCCUCACCAUGGAAAUGAGGCUCAUCGGGGUGGCACUUUGCCCCAGACCUUGGCGCUGUGAUGCCAGGAUCCAAAUCCAGGUGUGUGCACCCCAGGACUCCAGCUCCUAGGCCUUUUGGCUCCGUCCUGGGUUCAUGGAGCUGGUGGCAUUAGAGAUUCAUGGGACACAAGGUAGCAGCCGGGAAGCCUGGUAGCUGAGGGAGGGUGGCGUUUGAUGUAGGCAUAGCCAGGACCCAGGUGCCUGAAAAGGACCCAGGGAUGGUGGCUCAGGUCCAAGAGGCAGCGUCCUUCAGUGCUGAAUCUGAGUUCCCAGCCCAGGCCACACUGGGGUGGGGGAGCAACCAGAGUUGGAUGGGAAUUCUUAAAGGAGCUGACAGGGAUUUUAGUAAAGUGGUCAGCUGACUGCUCACGGGGGACGCGGUGGGCAGGCCCCAGACCUAGAAACCUCUGCCUACUUUUCAGCUUGCCGAACUCCUACUCAUCCUUCAAGGCCCAAUUAAAAUACCCCCCCACUGUGAGGCCCUCCCCGACUCCUCCAAGCUGACUCCCUCCCCCGUGCUCCCCCUUCCCAAGCCUCCCUCCUUAGGCCUCCCUCCUCCCCCAGCCUGCAAAGCUCCUGCAGAAGGAUCCGUGC